UACAGAGGGUGCGAGCGUUAAUCGGAAUUACUGGGCGUAAAGCGUGCGUAGACGGCUAUCUAAGUCGGGUGUGAAAGCCCCGGGCUCAACCUGGGAAUUGCAUUCGAGACUGAAUAGCUAGGGUACGGUAGAGGGAAGUGGAAUUUCCGGUGAGCGGUGAAAUGCGUAGAUAUCGGAAGGAACAUCAGUGGCGAAAGCGACUUCCUGGACCAGUACCGACGUUCAGGCACGAAAGCGUGGGGAGCAAACAGG
rnacentral:rRNA from 1 species